AGGCUGAACAAGUCCUUCAAAGCUGAAAGGGAAGACCAAAAAAAGGCCUGUCAUGGGAUUUGAAUUUGACCAUCUUGUGCGUUUAUGGAGAAGACCAAAAGCUGCAAAGGCAAACACUUCCAAUGCUGAAGACCAAAAACGCAAAGAAAAUCAGUCACAGCAAGCCGGUCAAACCAGUCCUGAUGAAUGAGGAAUGAACAUGGCCUUCUU